rnacentral:rRNA from 1 species
CACCGCGGUUAUACGAGAGGCUCAAGCUGACACCUCACGGCGUAAAGCGUGAUUAGAAAUAUAAUUAACUAAAGCUAAACACCCCCUAAGCUGUAAUACGCCCCCAAGAGGUAGAGAAUCUUUGACGAAAGUANCUUUAACAGUUUGAAUUCACGAUAGUUAAGAAA